CCCCUCUCAGGGUCGCACCUGGAGAGUUUCCAGUACUACCAGUCUCGGCUACGGGAGGGAGAGUCAAGCAGAGGCCUAUUCAUUCCACUCCUAGCUUGGGCAGCGGCUAGCGGGUGGAAGGCAAUCUGCUACCGGU
rnacentral:snoRNA from 1 species